rnacentral:tRNA from 1 species
GCUCCGGUAGUAUAGCCGGGACAAGUAUUCCGGCCUUUCGAGCCGGAGACCCGAGUUCAAAUCCCGGCCGGAGCACCA